CAUUCAAUAUUUUAGAGGAGGAUUUGGAGGGGAAAACUAAAGAAAACUCAUAAAAUUUUGAGAAUUUUUAGUUCCCAUAGUUCAAAAAAUUUUAAAGUGUUUUUGUGGUUUUUCGAGGUGAGGAGGUGGAGUCGUCUCUUUCAAACUCGGAGUUUCGAUUCGUUGUCCAGAACCAGUUUGUUUAGGUUAAAGAAAGAGCUUCAUCAGCUGCAAGCCUAUUCGAAGAUCUUAGCACCCGGAUAUGACAACAAAUCAAGAAAGCAGAAGGAUAUUUCGCGGAGGCAUAGUUUAGGGUCGUACCCAUGUGUGAGACUAAUUAUUUUGUAUACAUUUCCCCUAUUAUGUAUCCCAUUAAGUUUUAUUUAUAAAGUUUGUAUAAUUUUGAGUUUUGGGGCAAUGAAAUAUUUUGAAAUGA